GAACAUCUGGGCGCCCGCCUCUCUGCUUGCUGAAGAGAGGAGGCGAUGAGCUCGCCAGUGACCGCAGGGACCCGCAGAAAGCUGACCGACGGGAGCGGGAAGAGACCAGCCGAGUCCUCGCAUCAGCCUUCCCCUGAGGCAGGUGCACCGUUGGGAAGGUGUUUGUUCAGCAGAACUGUGUGGGAAGCGAUGCUAGCUAAGCCUUUCCGAAGACAGAAACUCAUCAGAACCACUGAAAGCACAGCAAGAAGUCACUUUGUGGAUUGAUUUGGCACGAGAAGCCAAGUAUUGACAAAUACCUUAACAACGUCGAAAGUAGCCUACUUUAAGAGGAAAUAUGCAGAAGAAGAAGAUUUACAUCAAGAUUACCCAGGGUAUUUUCCAAAACACCUGAUAUUACCUGAAGACCGGGCUUGUAUUUUGAAACUGUCUCUGCAGAAGCUUCAGUUUCUUGAAGAUCCUGAACUCUAUCUCCGCCGCUCAGUCCUGAUAAAUAACUUGUUGCGGAAGAUUCAUCUGGAAACUGAGCGUGAACGCUAUGAGUAUCUUAAGGAAAGUUCAUGCUGUCGGACUGCCUAUUCGGAUACAAGAAAACGGCUGAAGUUUAUGGUACAAGAAUGUCGUUCUCAGUCCCUUUAUUACAAAGAACUGCAUUCAUAUCAUAUUGUGCCUUAUUCUUCGGAGAAUGCCAUUUAUGGAGUGGGCUAUUCAAGUGGCCACUUGGAGCAAAAUUCUCAAUUGCUUAUUUAUAAAAUGAAAUGAGGGUUGUUGUUGUUUUUAAAAGACAUGGCUUAACUUGUUUCUGGAUGCCUGGAUGGCAUAUUACUUUGCUAAAGUGAUGCAUUAAUGUGCAAAUAUGGGCGAGAUCAAAGGGUCAAGUCAGCUAUAUUGCAGAAUGCUCCGGUGGUAGCACUUAACACUCAAGGCUGCUUGGUUGCACAGCAAUGGUGUCCAUAUGGAAACAGUGCAACCUGGAAUUUCUAAUAAGCUGUGAGCCCUGGGGUGAAGUGCUUAUUGGCUGUCCAGUUUUCUAUAUGUAUAUAUUCAGACUAACUUUAACUGCUAAGUUAUACCACCUCUCCUUAGAAAUGUAGACUGAUAAUAAGAGGAUAAUGUGCUGGCUGGUCUAAAGUGAAGGUUAAAGAGGGUGGAUAGCUGCUUCUCAGAAAUGUCUAAAAAGACUCAUAGUCAUUAAAAAUAUUGAUUCAUUCGUACCACCCCUCUUUUUGAAAUAUUCAACAGCAUUAAUUAUCUAGGUUUAAUCAUUUAUUUGCUAGCAUGCUUGGUUUCUGUUUCAGUCAGCGAUUUUAUUAAAAUUCAGGGAUUUUUUUGGGCAAGUAAAAAUCAAUAAUUCGGAUGAGCAGGGGAGCUACAUUCAUUUACUCUCUUAAAUUUGGUCCGGAUCCUCUCUCUGGAUCUCUGUUAUACUGAUUUGGCUCUAGGAAUGUAGAAUGCCUAUCAUAAAGGUGGGCACAGCAUUUUUUUUUAAAACUAGCACUCCAGUGUAAUUAUAAGAAAGAAUUCUGAUUUAGCACUCAUAGCCAGGAGCAAAAUAUUAAUAGAACCAGUGGGACAUACACACACACACACACACACACACACAAGUCUGUAAGUUUAUGCUCAGUUGAGGCAUGUUUUUUUUUGUAUCAGAUUAUAGUCUUUUGGAUUUCAUUCAGUGGUGGGAUUCAAAUAUGUGAACAACAGGUUCUCUGUGUGGAUGCCACUUCCGGAAGUCCGUUCUGGGCCUGGGCAACAAAAAAAUUAGCUACCAGUUCUGCUGAAGUGAUGUGAACUGGCUGAAUCCCACCACUGAUUUCGUUCCUUGGGAGAUGAAUCAUCACAUGUGGUCCCUCUUCCUAUCUUUUCUUCAUCCAGCAGUCUAAUUUCAUUGGUAGAAAAUAUUCUGGUGGUGCUUUAGUUAAACCACUGGUUGUUCAGAAAUGUUUGCAAUCCACUAGCAGAUCUAUUGAAAGAUCUCCAUCUAAAGUCUGCUUGUUCCUGGCCUAAUACAAUCAGUAUCAUUUUUUUUUACUAUUGUUAUGUGUCUGUGGGAUAUGAUUUGGGGAGCUCAGAUGCUGAACUUAUCAGAUUGCCAUAAGAGACAAAUCUGUUCAUGUUGUCCCAAUUGACAUAAGAAUGUCACAGGGAUUUGUGAAAUGUCUUUGAUUAGUUUUGAAGGUGCUCUCUAAGGAAGAGAGAUGGUGGCUUGGUGAAGAUCACUGGAAAAGUUGCAGGUGCCAAAAUUCUCUUCAAAAAAUGCCAAAGAGAAAUAUUAGGUAGGUGUGUGCAAAAAAGAACCUGCUUCCAAAGCUAAGAUGCUGUCUGUGAAAAAAUCCUGAUAGCUCUUUUAUUAAUGGUAAUUUCCCCACAAGAAUUCUUAGGAACUACAUCCAGGGUGAUAUUUUUUUUAAUGAAUCCCAUUCCAUGGCUAAAUCACAAUUUUCAGAGUUUCAUGGGAAGAGUGUGUAACUGUGAAGCCUAUUACAACUUGAGUGAGCUUUGCUCUUAGACAUUCAGUUGUGUAUUACAGUUCUGUGACAUUAUUAAUAGAUUAAUAUCCUUUUGGAGAAGCCCAGCCUAGAAAGAGAAGUACCAUGGAGUACUUUUUCCUUUCAUAUUCCUUUAAAAUAUCAUCUAAAAUGGCAGACUUUUACCUAUCAGAUCUUAAAAAUGGGACACUGAUAGAUGGAAAACAAUUCUAGAUAACAGCUUUAAUUUGCCUUAUUAUCACUUGAUAGCCCUUUUCAUCUUAGCCUUUUGCCAAUAUACUAGUCCUUCUUAACAAACAGCAUCCCUCUUCUUUCAUGGCAGGAACUUCCAAUUUGUUCACAUAAUCACUUUGCGCCCUUAGUUAAUGUGGACACAUGCAAUCUGGUUUUAUUCCUGUAGCCACUACCCUGAGUAUAAGCUGUUGAAACCAAGGAGUUUUACUUCCACCUAAAAAUGCACAAAGUUACUCUAGUGUUAUUGUAAUUAAAAAGUUUAAUGCAUGUGAAUUGCUGGCAAAUGUUGGAGCAUUUCACGUAAACCUUCUUCGCAUAAAUUUGGCAAAAUUUCAAAUGUUACAUUUCAAGUUUCUCCAAAUUUCCAAUGUUACAUUCCAAAUAGCUUGUUUGUUUUGUUUUGCUUGGUAACAUGUUGUAAAAACAAAACAAAACACCCCAGUAUUUAUUAUUAUUUAUUUAGGCUAAACCUUAUGCUCUAAGCAAAGCAGAUCGAAACUAUCUGGCCAUAAUUGAAAAUCCAAAGAAUGUGAUCUGUUAAAGUAGCUAUAAGAUCAUAGUCCUUAAGAAUCUUUAGUUAAACUAUGCCCCCUCUCUAGCAUAAUAUUUUAUUUUAUAUAUAAAGUUUUAAAAACAAUUAUAAGAAGUAAUACAGCUAAAUUAGUAAAAAGAAAAUGAAAAGAGGAUAGAAAUACCAGAAAAAUUAAAAGUGCAAUAAGAAAAGAAAAUAGAAGAAGGUAGAAAAAAAAAAGAAAGAUAUAAAAAUAUAUAAAAAUAUAAAGAUAUUCUGAUAUUCCUCACAGCAGUUAUAAGUUCAAUUUUAUUUUAAUCUCUCUCUCUAAAGUUAAAUCAUAACUCUCUUCUUCCUAUAUCUUGUGUAAUCAUCAAAAUCAUAAAUCACAAGUUCAUUUUUUUUCCAUUUAAGCCUAUUAGGGCAUUCCAAUUACCAAUAAAUGUACCUAUCAUCCUUUCUCUAAUUAAAGGUCACUUGCCAUCUCAGACAAUUCUAUCCAUUUCACCAACCAUUCCCCCAUGGUAGCUAGCACUGAAUCUUUCCAUCUUUGUAUAUAGAGUAAUAUCACCACAAUAAUCAUAUAUUGAAAUAAUCAUUCAUAGUUUUUUUCCAACCAUCAUUCCUAAAAGGAAAAGUUCUGACUUCAAUUGAAUAUUGAUCUAGCAUCCUCUUUAUCAAUGUAUGUAUUUCAAUCCAAUUUUUAAAGCUUUUUGAAAUGUCUCUUCAUGUUGUUCACAUUUCUAACAUAGUGUAUAUUUGAGAUGCCUUUAUACAUUGUAGAUAAUUUCUCUCGUGUUAUAUACCAACAGUAUCUAGUAUUUUAGAUGCCUCACUUAAAAAAAAAGAGAGAAAAAGACAAAAAAAAAGUUCCUGUCCUUGCUCAUUUGCAUCAGAUAGCUCCAUUCCUUUGCAUCAUAAUUUCACCUCUCAUAGACCUGGCCUUUUCCAAAACUUUUAAGUACAGCCCAUGGUCAAACAAAGGGAUGCUUAUCCUCCUUUAGAUGGCGAUAUGCAGUGCUUUUUUUCUAAAAAAAAAAAAAAAGGUGCCGGAACUCACACACGUCAUACAACCCACCUUGCUUACCCUACAAGGUUCCAUCCAAAAAAGGUGCCGGAACUCAGUUCUGGGUGUUCUAUGAGAAAAAAAGCCCUGGCGAUAUGUAUUCUGUCAUUUAUUUCCAAAUGGAUUUAAAAAUAGCCCUUCCCAACUGAGACCUAAUUCCUCUGAACCAAGAUCUGACGUCAUCCCCAAAAUACUCUCUAGUUGGUAAGUGUUUUAAACUCGGUAUGAUAAUAACUUGAAAGAUGUACAAAGCCAUUUAUCAUGACUGCUUUAUACUGAAACAUAUAAAUGGUAUUUUUUAAAUGAAGUACUGUCUGCUCUGACCAGUAGUAGUGUUCUAGUACAGUAUUUCCUACAAGUGUCAUCCAAGACCCUUUGAACUGGGCAUCCCAUCAGUUAAAACUGGGAACUUCUUGCAUGCCAAAUACAUUCCCUACCCCAGUAAUAUGCCCCCCCCCCGUUCAAUCUAUUUUAAUUCCUUUGAAGCCUUUUUACUCUUUUUUGCUUAAUUACAAUUAACAAGCUUUAAAUUCCUUAUGCUUUGCAUACUGAGCUUUGUGCACAGGUAUGAGUUCAUACAACCAGAUACAAUUAGAAUUAUAUUUCAGUAUUCCAUCUCAACUGGUGAGAUCAGAAACUGAAAUCUUUUUAAAGAAGAAGUGGCAUCAAAUAUUUAAUACUCAAUAGAACAUUGCAUGCGUUUGCUAGCAUUUUUUUAAAAAAAAUCUGUAAAUAUAUCAUCUUGGACACCAACUUUUUGCCUGUCAACCUUCAGAGAUUGGAGUAUUACAAGGACUUAGCUUAGUCAGAGUCAGUAGUCAAUCUCAGCUUGGCUUCAAUUAAAUCAACCUCAGUGCUCUUUUUUGUAAUCACUGAAUGUAUCCAUUAGCACUUUAAUCUGUCCAAGAAAAAUGAAAUUAAAAAAAUAGCAGGGUACAAGUUAUUGUAGCUGACCUUAGUUGUGUAAAAAGUGUACUGAUUUACCAACCAUUUUUAAGUCAAGUCAAAGCCUUCACCACUAUAGCUAUAGAAGCAUUUGGAUUAUUCAAGCUAAUGUUAAGUUUUUGCCCAUUUGGAAAUGUGAAUUGUAUCAACAUUUCGGCUUUAGUUUGUAUUAUUUCUAAACUAGUGAGAUGAAUUUUGUAUGCCUCAUUUUCAGGUUGAAAGACUGAGUAAACUGUGUAACAACUUUUAGAAAUACAGCCCUACUUCAUUCAGUGGAAACUUUGGAUGAGAUAUUGCUUCUAGAGUACAUGUACAGUAUUCUGCACUUUUCUUUUUGUAUUUUUGUGGUUGAUGAAUGUGUGGUUGAGUAUAUGAAAUAUUGUGCCUUAAAGUUCCCUUAUUAUGUGAGCCUUCAUUUCUUGUGAAAAUUAUACAACAUGUAUUAUAGCUAAGGGUGGUUGGAUGGUCUAAAAGAUCUGUUUCUGGUAUUUGGGUCUCUCACAAAAAGCCAUUGUUUGUACCCAUUCUGAUGGAACUUGAAACUUUAAAUGAUAGAGAACUGAACAUAAAAUCCACAUCUGCACUCCAAGGUUUAUGCAGUUUCCCUGUUCUUAUCAUCAGUUUGCAGAUUUAGUUUUACCUAUGAUUGAACUGUAUGCACAGUGACAAUUAUGUAAGAAGAUUUUAGGUCAAGGAAUACAGAAAUUGCUUCAUUCAGUAUGUCCUUUGUACAUAUACACAUAUGUUAAAGGCAAUAUGCCCAUGCAUGGAUGCAAUUAAGCCAUUGGUUCCUGGAAUAUCAUAAUUUGGAAAACAGAAGAGUCAGAAGACUUUUAAAAAACAUAUUCUAUUUAUAUUUUUAUAAAUUGGAUUUUACUUCUACAGCUCAAUGCUAUAGAACUUGGAUCAAACAAUGUCAAAGAUUGUCAUCAUAAGAUUUGUGCAGACAGAACUAUGGGUUGAUUAAGCUGAUUUUUAAAAUGAUUUUUUACUGCUUUUUAAUAACAAAAGGUGCGUUAACAAAAAAGGGAAAGAAAUAUGACAAAGUAAAAAAAAGCAUGAUAAAUCAUUUUCACAGUAAACAUAAACUUCUAUAUAUACUUAUCUAGUGCGAAUAUUAUUCAAUACAUAUCUAUUUCUAUUGCACUUAUAUAAUUAUUUUUAAUCUACUGUAUUUUGUUUAAAUGAGUCCCAUAUUUCAUUAUACUUGUCCAUACAAAGGCUAAUCUAUAGGCAAUUAGUUCAUAUGUGGCAAGUGUAAUCAGAUCUUCAAUCCAUUGAGAAAUGGUCCAUAUCUUCCUAAACCUGCAAUAUCAGUCUUUUGGCGAUAGUAAGAUUACAGAGAAUCCAUGUAUAUUGUCAGUUGUCAAAUUAUAUGUACUGGGUAUAUAGUGCAAGAAAAUAUUGUCCUCUGAAAAUUUUAGCUUUUGUCACACAAUUAUAUUUAUAUAGUCCACUUUCUCCAAAAAUGUAAUAAGCAUAGUAACUUGGGUUUUAAAAAAAGAUUGAUUAAGUUGAUUAAUCACAAUCAUGAAGUUUUUCUCACCCAUAGAAUGUAUCUGAUUUCUUUUUAUUUUAAUACAUGUAUAUAUCUGCUCCAAUCUAUAAUGACUCUGAGUGAAAACAUUCUAAAAUAAGUUAAAAAUUCCAAAGUCCAAAGGAAGAACAACUGUUAAAAAAAAACCCAUAAAGGACUCAUCACUCAUUCAUAGAGAGAAGCCAAAUUCGGGGGGGGGGGUGUAUUUUAAACAUGGCUUUGUGGAGAGACAGUCUGUUGUCUCUGCAUUAGUAGUUUCUAAGUAGGAAGGUAUGUGAUGGAUUGUGUCACUGGAAAAAUUGCUUGAAGACAGGACCUAAUUCCAUCCAUACAAUUGUUUUGUCCUCAUUGUUUAUUGCCUUAGGCACAGAUAGCUUAAUUGUAUGGAAAGACCUAUAAGCAAAUCCUGCAGCUCUCAUUUUAAUGCAGGCAUUGGGACCGCAGGAGGGAACACUGUGACAUAGUAUUUCAAGUAGAAUACUCCAAAUUAAACUCCAGGACUUUUCUGCCCACAAUAUAUCUUUCCCCAAAUUUAUUAGCACAGGGGCAAAAUGCAACUGGUUUUACAUGCACACGCACGCACGUGCACACACACACACACUAAGGCAAAUGAGCUUUCAAUCUCAUCACUAAAUUCUGAAUUCCUGUCCAAGGUUUGUUCUAAGAUUCAGCAACAGACAGCAAUUGGACAGCAAUCAUGAGCAUACAGUAUAGGUGAAGAUUCUUGGCGAGAUUAAAAAAAAAUCAGUCCCAUGGACAGCACUUAGUAUUUUACCUGUUUGGUCUACUUGAAUGCUUUCCGUUUAUUUUAAUGAAGGGCUUUAUGUUGCAAAGACAUUAUGAUGCACUUUGGGAUGAUAUGCCUGAUCUGAAUUAGAUAAUUUGCAUUGGCUCACAACCUCUUCUGGCAGUUGCAUAGCCAGAGGCUUCUGUGUAUGCCCUGCACAUAUGCCACACAUCCUGUUCUAAUAAUAACAAUCAUUAUAAGCAUGGAUGUGAUGAUUUAUUACUGACAUUUCAAAAAUGUAAGAUUUUUGUCAAAUUCAGGAUUCCUGGGCAUGUCAAAAUAUCAAAAUUAUAAUAUUAUACAUUAUUGAACUAUUUUCUUUUCUAAGAGCAAUGGAAGCUCAACUUUUUUUUUUUUUUAAAAAAAAAGGUAAAUAAGGGCAAGGAGCUUGAAAAAGCCAAAACUUAUAUUUCCCUCCCAUUUUCUGUGGUUCUAAUAUAAGUCAGCAGAGAGACAUGAUUUCUUGAUUUCCUACUCUCUCUCAUUCACUAACAACUCAGACAGAACUUUUAGCUCGGCUAUAUUAAAAAGGCAGCAAAUCUGACAUCAGAUAUUCCAGGAAUUACAGAACUUGAUUUCAGAUGUGGAGGUGGGGGAUUUUAUGGUUCUAGGUUGGAAUGACUUGCUUUGUGUUGUAUAAUAAGCAGAAUAUUUUGGACCUGCUUGAGACCUAUCUGAAAGGUUUUUAUGAUUUUUUAAAAUAAUUACUAUUAAAAUAUGUAUCACUCUCAUAAACACAUACACACAUGUAUAUGCAUGGUAUUACUAAUAAAAUGCCAUUUCUAUUGAAA